AUUGAACGCUGGCGGCAUGCCUUACACAUGCAAGUCGAACGGUAACAGGUCUUCGGAUGCUGACGAGUGGCGAACGGGUGAGUAAUACAUCGGAACGUGCCCGAUCGUGGGGGAUAACGAAGCGAAAGCUUUGCUAAUACCGCAUAAGAUCUACGGAUGAAAGCAGGGGACCGCAAGGCCUUGCGCGAACGGAGCGGCCGAUGGCAGAUUAGGUAGUUGGUGGGAUAAAAGCUUACCAAGCCGACGAUCUGUAGCUGGUCUGAGAGGACGACCAGCCACACUGGGGCUGAGACACGGCCCAGACUCCUACGGGAGGCAGCAGUGGGGAAUUUUGGACAAUGGGCGAAAGCCUGAUCCAGCCAUGCCGCGUGCAGGAUGAAGGCCUUCGGGUUGUAAACUGCUUUUGUACGGAACGAAAAGACUCUGGUUAAUACCUGGGGUCCAUGACGGUACCGUAAGAAUAAGCACCGGCUAACUACGUGCCAGCCGCCGCCGUAACAC
rnacentral:rRNA from 1 species